UACGUAGGGGGCGAGCGUUGUCCGAAGUUACUGGGCGUAAAGCGCGCGUAGGCGGUCUCUUAAGUCCGGGGUGAAAGGUUCAGCGCUCAACGCGAACAGUGCCCUGGAGACUGGGGGACUUGAGUGUGGGAGGGGGCAGUGGAAUUCCGGGUGUAGCGGUGAAAUGCGUAGAUAUCUGAAGGAACAUCAGUGGCGAAAGCGACUUCCUGGACCAAUACUGACGCUCAUGUGCGAAAGCGUGGGGAGCAAACAGG
rnacentral:rRNA from 1 species